rnacentral:rRNA from 1 species
UUGAAGGCUGGAAUGAAAGGUUGGAUGAAGGAAAUACUGUUUUAUAUAAAUGAUUUUGAAUUUAUAAUUUAAGUAAAAAUACUUAAAUUGUGUUAAGGGACGAGAAGACCCUAUAGAGUUUAAUAUAAAAAGUUCUAGUUUUGUUAUUUUGGAUCUAAAAAUUAGUUAUAUAUUAUAUUUGAUUGGGGUGAUUGGAAAAUAAAUUAAAUUUUUCUUUUAUGUUUAUAAAAUGAAUAGAAAUAAGAUCCAUUAUUUUAAUGAUUAAAAGGUUAAAUUACCUUAGGGAUAACAGCAUAAUUUUUUUUGAGAGUUCAAAUUGAUAAAAAGGAUUAUGACCUCGAUGUUGGAUUAACAUAUAAUUUAGGUGUAGAUGCUUAAAUAAUUGGUCUGUUCGACCAUUAAAAUCUUACAUGAUCUGAGUUCAAACCGGAGA